AAAACCCAUAAGUUAACAUAACUGCGUGUAGAGAAUAUCACCAUUAUGUUAUUAAUAUUGUUAGGAGUAACGAAAAAUAGUUAAACUAAAUUAGAAUAGUUUUUACAGUUUAAUAUUUGAUGUCUCCAUAUUCAUUUUGAAAAAUGAUUUCAUUGUUCUAUCAUGAAAUUGGUCAUAUUAUUCGUUGAUGUGGAAAUAAUUGAUUGUUUAAUAAUAUUGGAAUACUUAUUAAAUUAAGUCAUAUAUUAUGCUAAAGUGGCCCAGCAUUCACUGGCCAUAUGCAAAACUCUAAUUGAAGAUUUGAAAUCGGUAUAAAAACGAGUUUAAAAAAGUAUAUUUUGGUCUCUGAUGAAAAUUUCUUGUAGACCAGUAAAUUUAUUUAUGAAUGACAAUUUCAUUUUUUAAGUAUUGUAUCAAAACCUUCAAUUUUAUAUACGUUUGCCAUAAAAGUAAUAACUAUUUUAUAAUUUUAUUACACAUAAUUUUAUUUUAUUACAUUUGUGCUAUAAGGAUUGAAUAUAUGGUUUAUUAUCGUUGGGGGGAGUUUAUGAUUUUUUAACCAAUGAUAUCUGAUGUUGAUAAUAUCAUAUCAACUCCCUCUCUCGAUAAAAAUCAUAUUUAAGUAAUUUUCAGUAAUAUUAUUUUAGUUUAAACGCAGUUUUUGUGCGUGUCGUGUAAAAGUCAAGUUUUUCAACAAAUAAGUUUCAAAAAUUUUUAUCUAAUUGUUUUUUUGAAAUCAAAAG